UGAGAGCAUCUCUUCCACUUCCAGCCAAAUGCUGUGGAAGGGAGAUUGGACUAGAAAAGUACCUUCAUUUUUCAUGUUGAGUUUUACCAAUUUUCUGCCAUCGUGGAAAGUAGCAUUUGCUGACCAGAGACCACCCCACAGUGCAGUUUCUACAGGAGCACAGCCUAGAAGAAAAUGGAGCAGAUGUCCAUGCCAGACCCACAGUGAUUUUGUCAACAGUUAGAAAAUGCACUGUUUCAAGUGCAGUUCUGCUCUGGAAAAUAUCCGUGCAGAAAUGACACCUUCCUUUUCAGGACUUGUAUUACAGAGACACUGUAUUUCUAAAGCAUACUCUUCUCAACCCUAAAAAAAACAGUGCUGUAAGCAGAAAUGGAUGUCACCUACAGAUUGUCAUACACCAUUAAUGCAGUUAGCUGAAUUUCAACUUGCCAGCUGUUACCGUGUGGAUCUCUCUGGAGCAAGUUUAGCUAACUAAGAACGGAAGAACGACCCUGGGAAAAGACACAACUAUGCUUGUUGGAAGAAAGCCCUAGAAGAAGAAAUAAAGCAGUAAAGCACGAGAUGAAAGCCAUGGGAGGAAGAGAUAAAGCAGUAAAACACACGAAGGAAUGCACAGAAUGUUGUGGGUUUUGUACCUAGGUGUCUUGUUAGCAAUUAAACCCUGAUCUUGCAGAUAAAGGAGUGAGUUAGCAUGUGUAAGCUAUAUCUGUAUAACAACGGAAAGGUACUGAAGCUCGAGUACAGGCUGUUGCCUCAGCCAGCUAGAGGGUGUAAAAGCUUGCUUAGCUUUAAUAGAGUUGUCUUCGAUUCACCACAGCCGGAGACCGUGCCUUUCAAUACGCCGCAAAUGGCGUCCAACGCGGGGACCUUAAACGACUAGCUGUCGAUCCGGCGGCGUAGCUCAGCUGAACUUCAGGACAGAUGCUGCAAGGAAGCGUUAACAGGGUGCUCAAUUACCUUUCGCAGGACGAAGGUAAGCAGCUGAGAACUAUGGGGAUGAAUUUAACAAAAGAGCAAAAUAAUGUUUUAGAAGUUUUUAACAAGAUUCUGAAGGGACAUGGAAAGAAAAUGGAUAAUGAAGAGUUACAACAAAUCCUUAUUUGGGCUUCUAAAAAUGAUCCCUCCAUAAACAGUCAUAAUAUUUAUGAUCCCGAAAUCUGGGACAAAGUUGGGGUCAGACUCUUGAGUCUGUGCCACUAGAAAUGAUAAAACUGCGGCUGGUUUGUUACCUUCUUGGCGGAUGAUUUUUGAGACUUUAAAGGCGCAUGUUAGUUCUCGGGCGGAAGACGGGCAAGAGAAGUCCGCACCACCAUUAGCCCCCCCACCGCCGGCACCCCCUCCUGCAGACUGUGUUGUGAAGCCGCGAGUAAUAUCGCACAAAGAUGCCUUUGCGAUCUUGCCUCCUAAUAAUUCUGAUGAUGAUGCGAAUAAUCCAUUUGAUCCAGGGCGAACAGACCCUGAAAAGCAGCCUGACUUUUAUCCCCCAGACCCUCAUGAUAGGUGGGCAGCACUAAGAAGGGAGGCAAAGCAGGCGGGAGAUGUGGAUAUUUUGGGAGCCUUCCCGGUAAUAUAUGCUCCUGAACAGGAACCACGUUGGGAAGGUCUUUCUUAUAACCUUAUAAAAGACCUCAGGCAUACGGAAACUGAUCAUGGACUCGGCGCUCUAUAUACCACCCACUUGAUACAGUCUCUUUGUGAUACUUCUGUUUUUACCCACAUGAUUUCACAACUACGUUUCGGCUUAUUAUGACUGAUAUGCAAUACACUGUGUCGGAAUCAAAAAUGAGACAGCUUGCUAGAACUCAAGCUGCAGAAAAUCUGGCGCUGGGUCAGCGAAACUCUGCGAGACGUUGAUGUGAAUAUGUUAAUGGGGAGGGUGAUCACGGCAGUGCUGCAGCUCAGGCUAGAAUCCCUCCCGAAGGCUUGCAGCAGAUAAACAACUUGCGCUCUGCGCUCUUAAAAGAGUUCCAGAAGCCGGAAAACAAAGACAAACUUUUGUUCCUAUAAAGCAGGAAUCAGGGGAGCCAUUUAUGAAAUUUUUGGAUAGACUUAAUGAUGCUGUACAGAAACAAGUUGAGAAUGAGGCCGCUCCGGAUUGUAUUUUAAAACAAUUUGCAAUUGAAAAUGCUAACCCAGACUUUUAAAAGGUUUUACGACCUUUGAAAAACCCUAGCACUGAUGAUAUGGUUACUGCAUGUAUGAAUAUAGGCUCCAGGCAGCAUGAAUUGUCUUUACUCCCCGAGGCUUUUACGGCAACGACAGUAAAGUUGCAACAAUGCUAUUCCUGUGGCAAAUAUGGGCAUUUUCGAAAAAAUUGCCCCCAGGCAAAUACAAAUAAGGGUGGAGCACGGGGUAUUUGUCCAUGCUGUCGUAAAUUACGACAUUAUGCCAACCAAUGUCGAUCCAAAUUUGACAAAACUGUUCAGUCGCUGACCUUGCCGGAAACCCCAAGCAAAGCACAAGGAGGAGUCCCACUAUGACAACAAGUCACCCCUCGGACUGGCCCCCUCAAGGAGCUGCCGCCGCUUACGUGCCAGCACCACUGGCAGCACCGGAGUAGAAUUGGCCACUUUAGCAGAAACAAUAACUAGCAACACCUCGUUUGUGCUAAUUCCAACUGGCACUUAUGGACCUUUGGGUCAUGGAAUGAUAGCAUUAUUAACCGGGCAGUCCUCCACAACAUUAAGAGGGCUUUUUGUAUUACCCAGAAUUAUUGAUGCCAAUUACAAAAGCAAAAUUUAAAUAAUGGCGUGGAGUCCAGUGCCACUGUAUACCAUACCCACAGGAAGUAAAAUUGUGCAAUUAGUUUAUCUUUCACCCCAGAGACCAAAUGCAAGCCAAGUUGUGUGGGAUACAGGCUGUUUUGGAUCUACAGAGAUGCCUGAAAUUUAUUGGACCCAACAAUUGACAGUGAGUCGACCACAAUUAUCAUGUACUCUACAGGCAGGAGGAACAAGACUCACCAUACUAGGGGUUAUAGCUAGUGGCGCAGAUGUUACAGUCAUUCCUGCAUCCCUGUGGCCUGGUAUUUGGCCUUUAAUGGCUGCUCACAUCUCCUUGUCGGGAAUCAUUGGGCAGACAUCGUCCGGAGCCAAAUACUCAAUAAUAUCAUUGGACCAGAAGGCAGAACAGCCACUGUAAGACCUUUUGUGUUGCCUGGAUCUGUUACCCUUUGGGGAAGGGACUGUCUAAGUCAAGGGGCAUGCAGGUAAGCACGGAUUUUUCUUAGGGGCCACUGUUCAGGAGCAGCAAGUCCCAUCAAUGAUCUGAAAAACUGGUACACCGGUUGGGUAGAUUAGUGGCCCCUCCCAAAAGAAAAGCUGCUGCAACUGCACAAACAGGUAAACAAACAGCUGGAAUCUGGCCCUAUCAGCCCUACCACAAGCCUGUGGAAUACACCAGUUUUUGUGAUCCAAAACAAAAACAAUUCUUGGAGACUAUUACAUGACUUGAGAAAAGUAAAUUAAGUCAUCAAAGAUAUGGGAGCCGUACAACCCAGACUCCCCUCCCCAUCAAUGAUACUACAAAUGUGGUUUCUUACAGUGAUUAAUUUAAAGGACUGGUUUUUUACCUUACCACUUGCACCUCAAGAUGCACCACGAUCUGCGUUUUCAGUCCUGUCUGUCAACGCCACAGAACCCCAUAAAAGAUACCACUGGACAGUGUUACUCCAAGGCAUGAAAAAUAGUCCAACAUUAUGUCAGCAAUUUGUUGAAGCCCUUUUAAGUCCAAUAAGAAAGAAUUUUGAGGGUGGUUUUAUAUAUCACUACAUGGAUGAUAUUUUAAUAGCUGCACAAACAAAAGAGCAAGCACAAGAAGUCCAGCAACAAAUUGUGCAAGCAGCUCUAGGCGCAGGAUUUAAAAUUGUAAAAGACAAAAUACAGGAAACAUCACCUUGGCAGUACUUAGCCUGGAAGAUUUCAGAUCUACUUACUCGACCACAAUGAAUAACCUUACAAACAGAUAUUAAAACUUUGAAUGAUCUCCAAAAAUUGCUGGGGACCAUAAAUUGGGUCCGUCCUCUUCUGGGAAUUUCUACAGAGGAACUGCACCCCCUUUUUAAACUUUUAGAAGGAGAUAUGGAUUUAACAUCUCCCAGGGAACUCACCCCCCCAACAAAGGCUAUUCUUAACAAAGUAGUAGAAAAAUUGACUAAUCAGGCUGCCAAUAGGAGAAAAUUGAAUUAUCCAAUUAGUCUUUUUAUCUUUUACUCUGCUUUUCAACCUUAUGGGUUUGAUAGCACAACGGAUUCCACAGGACAUAAAUCCAUUAAUAUUUAGAAUGGAUUUUUCUACCCCAUGACUUUGGGAAGACAGUUACGACGGCUGUUGAGAUUAUAUCCAUGGUCAUUCAAAACGGGAGAGAGCUUUUAAUGGCUUUAGAUGGUACAGAGCCAAACAAGAUUUACCUACCCCUUGAUACAAAGCAAUUAACCUUUUUAACUCACCAAUCCUUUGUUUUUCAGUGUGCUUUGGUGGAUUAUACAGGACAGAUAAGUAUUCACUUUCCGUAACACAUAUACAAUCUUUAAACUCGCUUUCACUAUUGUAUACUUCACAAUUGGCUAUUACUCCCAUAACAAACGCCCUUACUGCAUUCACUGAUGGGCCCGGGAGAAUGGGAUGAGCUGUGAUUGUUUGGCAAAAUGAAACAGGUCAGUGGAAUAGUGACAUACAUGCGGUCACAGGUUCACCACAGAUAGCUGAAUUGUGUGUGGUAGUCCGUGACUUCAAAAAAUGGCCUAUUCCAUUUAACGUAAUACCUACCCUGCCUAUGUUGCAGGCCUUGUUUACAGACUUGAACACUCAUUUUUAAAAGAAAUACCAACUGAAAAGCUAUUUGCACUUCUCUGGGAACUUAAAUGGCUUCUUGAUAGAAGAACUCAGUCAUACUUUAUCCAACAUGUUUGCUCACAUACCUCCCUGCUAGGACCUAUCAGUGAGGGAAAUAAUGAGGCAGACCGUCUUGCAGGCGCUGCAGUAUUACCAGAUCCUUUCACGAAAGCCCCUCUGUCUCAUGACUUCCUUGCAAAGGUCAUUUCAACUAACACAAGACCAAGCUUGGCAAAUUGUGCAAUUAUGGCCUGAUUGUCAGCAUGUUUUGCCUACACCUUCAAUUAGAAUCAAUGCACGAGGAUUAUCCUCACUUGAAAUUUGGCAGACAGAUGUUACUCACAUACCAGAAUUUGGUAGAUUCAAAUACGUCCAUAUGUCAAUUAAUACCUAUUCCUCAUGCCUUUAUGCCUCAGAACACACAGGUGAAAAAUCUAAAGAUAUGUGUUGGCAUUUUGUUAUAGAUUUUGCAACCUUGGGAGUUCCAAAAACCAUCAAAACAUAUAAUGGCCCAGGCCAUUAUAUAAAACAGAUGUUUUUUCAACAAUGGGGAAUAAAACAUGUUACGGGCCUUCCUUACUCACCCACAGGACAGGUAAUUAUUGAAUGAACACAUAUUACAAAAACAAAAAAGGGGGACCCAAGAGUUAUCCCCACAGAGCAAGUAGCAAAAGCCUGUUAUGUUUUGAAUUUUUUUAAUUGAUGGACAGAGGGCGGGCCUCCUAUACAACGCCAUUUUAACUCACAAAUCCACCCUGAAAUCAAUAAUAAAGCUUCAGUGGUGGUAAAAAAUUUAGAGACAAAUCAAUGGGAAGGACCCUUCCCUCUAAUAACAUGGGGGAGAGGAUAUACUUGUGUUUCCCCAGGUUCCGGCCCAAGAUGGGUACCUACCCGGUGGACCAAGGCAUCUGUGUCACAGCCACCAUUAUCACCUACAUGAUGACUGCGUCAGCAGUAUGGAUACCACCUCAACCUAAAACAAACAUUUGAGUGACCUUAGCAAACAAAACAGGACAAGAUACGCUGUGUUUGUCAACUGCUUCUCCAGAAAAUGCUUUUACAACUUGUUUGAAGGGAGAGAUGUGGAUAUCUCUGGAGCAAGUUUAGCUAACUAAGAACGGAAGAACGACCCUGGGAAAAGACACAACUAUGCUUGUUGGAAGAAAGCCCUAGAAGAAGAAAUAAAGCAGUAAAGCAUGAGAUGAAAGCCAUGGGAGGAAGAGAUAAAGCAGUAAGACACAAGAAGGAAUGCAGAGAAUGUUGUGGGUUUUGUACCUAGGUGUCUUGUUAGCAAUUAAACCCUGAUCUUGCAGAUAAAGGAGUGAGUUAGCACGUGUAAGCUAUAUCUGUAUAACAACGGAAAGGUACUGAAGCUCGAGUACAGGCUGUUGCCUCAGCCAGCUAGAGGGUGUAAAAGCUUGCUUAGCUUUAAUAAAGUUGUCUUCGAUUCACCACA